AUCAGCAGGAGAGGACUCUUUAAAGUAGAGACACUACAUACUGAUAUACACCUGAACAUCAGCAGGAGAGGACUCUUUAAAGUAGAGUAAUUGAGUAAUUUAAUACAUCACACCACUGUUUACAUCUCACUGACAUACAGGCAACUCUGCAGCUGCCACGUUUGAUUCUAAUAGUGUAUAAAUGGGAUAUGUUCUGGUUUUAAUUAACUAUGUUACUGGGGACCCAACUCAUGGAAAGUGCUCCAAAACAAUAUCAUUACACGUCACUUACACACAGAUCACUCCGCAGCUGCCCGUACUGUGUGGACACCCAGAAACCUCUCCUGUCCUGCAGGGUGAUGAAGGGGUCCUCCGGGUAUCUGGCUCGGUACUUCUUCAGGAACCCGCCCUCGAAGUCCGCCAGAACCCCGUCCAUGUCCACCAGAACCCGGAGCCUCUUACCGGAGGACAUGUUGACGGAAAUCCUCCUAACCGGAUCACGGAGCAACGUUUUUCCUCUUCCGAGUAGAAUGUGAAACAUGUAGCUGAUGGUGCUACCUGAGCAGAAAACGAUGGAAGGCGGCGGGGAGAACAAUCUGUACAAGAACCAGCAUCAAAGAUAUGCUAGGAGACCAAGAGGGUUCACUCCUAUUUCGUCUGGUGUAGACCCUAACCCUACAGAUGUAAAGCCACAACUUGGAGUUAUAAAAUAUAUACAUAACGUGAAAAAAUAAAGAGUUAAAACAUUUCA